rnacentral:misc_RNA from 1 species
CAUUAUCUUAAAAUUGCAGUUACUCUCAAAGAGGAGGGUUUUGAUGGGGUAAUCAAUGACGGUAAAGAUAUGAAUUCCACCCUGUCCGGCAUCAAAUAAGAUAUCAACAGGCAUGUGCUCCACUGGUAAAAGAUCUGGAAAAUAGCAGGCCUGGAAAUGUAGACGUGAAUGACCAGGACAAUUGUAGAACAAACGAAAAGAACAAUUAUUCAUCUCAACAGCAACCCUUGCAACCAUUUCCAAGAAUCUUGCAUCCAGG